GAUGAACGCUGGCGGCGUGCCUAAUACAUGCAAGUCGAGCGAACAGACGAGGAGCUUGCUCCUCUGACGUUAGCGGACGGCCGGGUGAGUAACACGUGGAUAACCUACCUAUAAGACUGGGAUAACUUCGGGAAACCGGAGCUAAUACCGGAUAAUAUAUUGAACCGCAUGGUUCAAUAGUGAAAGACGGUUUUGCUGUCACUUAUAGAUGGAUCCGCGCCGCAUUAGCUAGUUGGUAAGGUAACGGCUUACCAAGGCAACGAUGCGUAGCCGACCUGAGAGGGUGAUCGGCCACACUGGAACUGAGACACGGUCCAGACUCCUACGGGAGGCAGCAGUAGGGAAUCUUCCGCAAUGGGCGAAAGCCUGACGGAGCAACGCCGCGUGAGUGAUGAAGGUCUUCGGAUCGUAAAACUCUGUUAUUAGGGAAGAACAAAUGUGUAAGUAACUAUGCACGUCUUGACGGUACCUAAUCAGAAAGCCACGGCUAACUACGUG
rnacentral:rRNA from 1 species